UUCAGCACAAGGUCGUGAAAGAUCUACUGAAACAUGCAAGAAAAAUGUCAGCCUAUGUUGACGGGGGCCCUGGUGGUGAUGGCCAUAGCCCUGCUGAUCUCAGUGUGCGUCAACAUUGUUCAAUACUACCUCAGACAAAGGAAAAACUCAAAGACAGGAAUCCUGCAGCAUUUAUUGUGACCCCAAUCUAUACAUCUAUGCCAGGUGAGCCCUAGCUAUGGCCUCUACCUUUACCAGGAGGGCCCUAGCUCUAUCUUUACCAGUAGGGCUGUAGUUAUUGUCCAUCUUUACCAGGAGGGCCCUAGCUCUUUCUUUACCAGUAGGGCUGUAGUUAUGGUCCAUCUUUACCAGGAGGGCCCUAGCUCUAUCUAUACCAGUAGGGCUGUAGUUAUGGUCCAUCUUUACCAGGAGGGCCCUAGCUCUAUCUAUACCAGUAGGGCCCUAGAUAUGCUCAUGGCCCAGACUGUUUUGCUCCAAUGUGUGUAAACUAUGAACAGGGGGUUGCUGUAACAUAAUGUCCACCGCACAUUAUUAUAAUUUCCUCUUUCCUGUCUGUCCUGACCAGUUCCAGCUCUAGUAUGGAGAAUGGAGUCUAUCGCUUUCACGAUGAUAUCCCCGAGCAUCAAGAGAAUCCUAUUUAUGGAAACAUUCUCAAAGUAAGAAGAGUGAAAGGGUGCACUGCGCCGCGGGAAUCGAUGACCCUGCAGCAUGCACAAGGCAACAAGGUACCUGGUUUGACCGUAAUGUGUGCUAGGAAAAGGAUUGAGAACACUAGACAGAGCAUGAUGAUCAUAAUAAUCAGAAUUAAAAAACAACGUGAAUAAUAUUCAUAUCUCUUUCCACACUGCUCUGAAUGUGCAUAAUUGUUAAACCCAUAUACUGUAAACUAUUAUAGACCCUACCUGACUAUAGAGUUUAUAAUCAGUAUGUGUGUGUGUGCCUGGUUAUGUGUGUACCCCAUGUGCAUGUGUGUGUGUGUGUGUGUGUGUGUGUGUGUGUGUGUGUGUGUGUGUGUGUGUGUGUGCGUGUGUGUGUUUGUCUUUUUGUGUGAGCAUAUGAUUUCCUGGACAUGUGUUUGUUCAUGUGUGUGUGUGUGUGUGUGUGUGUGUGUGUGUGUGUGUGUGUGUGUGUGUGUGUGUGUGUGUGUGUGUGCCUGUGUGUGCAUGUGUGUGCGUGAGUGUGUGUGUGUGUGUGUGUGUCCCAGUCCCGCUGUACAUGCAUAUGACCAUCUCUGUGCGUGUGACACCAGCCCUCAGAGUCCCACAUGAACUACGCCUCCCUGGACCUCAAGGAGACCAAGCGGGGCCACAAGAAGAAAACGGCGUGCACCCGGGGCCCACCGGGGAACCCCGCCCGGACCUCCAGGCCACCCUGCUCCGGCCACCCGGGGAGGCAGAGGAAGGCCGGCUCUCCUCGGGGGGGGGCGGCAGCCCCGGCCCCUCCCACAGCAGCAUCUACCUCAACAGCCAUCAGAUCGCCAUGGAGACGGAGGAGCGAGGACGGGACGACGGGUGGCCCGGGACGAGCCGGCCGCCGACCUGGGGCGCCGACGGGGACUGGCCGCUCCGGAACGGCGCCUGGGGUCCGGCGGGGGAGAGGGAGAGUGGGGAGGAAGAGGAGGGAGAGGGGGGAGAGGAGGGAGAGGAGGAAGAGGAGGAAGAGGGGGCAGAGGGCUGGCUGGAGGCGCGGUGUUAGCGGUGUUAGCGGGGGGAAACGGAUGAGCGAGGCUCGGUCUGCCAACACUCGGAGGGAUCCUUUGAUCCCCCGCCGGGAUCACGGCGCGUCCACGAUGACGAGGGCGGCUUCCGGCUGUCUGUCUUGGCGUUUUCCCGCCUUAAGGUCAGACGACAACGGAACAAAUAAUCUGAAAUGUUUUGGCUCGCCCCUGGUAAAACCUGCUCUACGGCAGUGUGCUGUAACCUACGCUUGGUUUAUAGGGAGUAGUUCACGAGGUGAGCAGGUGUCCCCCUUGAUGUGGGACCUCACUGUUUGUCCCCCGUCCCGCAUAUCGAGACGAUGUACCGCAGGACAGGGUGUGAUCGUGGGGCAGUGUUUGAUGUGUUUUAAACCGCGCACCUGUAGUUCAAGCGCAGGUUAAUGUGUCACUACUUUUGCUGCCUGCUACACCGUGCCCAACGUCGAAUACUGCGACCCACAACAAAGUAACAAGCCAUACAGCUUUACGUUUAUUCAGUGUCACACACAGGCACGCCCUCAAGCCACAUGCGAGAAUGUGUACGUUUUGAAUUGGACAUAAAUAAAACAUUGUUAGACUAGCUUUCUGCAGCUGUACCGUGUCACACAUUGUCCCAGCACAAACAUACUCUUUGACCCACGUCUGGUUUGUUGGGUGGUGGUCACCCAAGGCCCCCCUUCAGGGCGGGGCACGAGCAGAAGCAUAUGAAACCUACCGCCAUGGCACGCUUUUGCAAGCAGACAAAACAUUUGCCCGGUCUGGGCCAAGAUGCCAAGGUUCAGCCCUGGCGUGAAGUCGCGCAGUGAGCCGUACCAUGAGCCUGCCGAGGUGCUAGACCCGCGCUGCUCAGUGGAAACUCAACACCGGAACGCGUGUGGUCAGGCUCCUGUAUCUCAACGGUGCGGAGCGGCGGAAAUGCAGCAUGACUGGUCCAGGGAGGCCUUUGAGGGCAGGGUAGCAAAUACUACAUAUUGUAAAUAUUGUUAGUCACGGCAAUCCAUAUAAAAAGAUAUAGCUGAAAUAUAUCUUGUAUAUAUCUUAUGGUCCAUAGUGUUUACAUGUGGUCGAUAUUGUUUAAAUGUGAUCGAUAGUGUUUAACUAUGGUCGAUAGUGUUUAAAUGUUCUUUUCCCUCACUCUCCACCUCAUCCCUAACUCUCCACCUCAAGCUGGUGUGUAGUGAGCGUUCUGGCACCGAUUGGCUGCCGUGCAUCACCCAAGUGGGUGCUACAUAUUGGUGGUGGUUAGUGAGGUCCCCCCUUCACUUUAGGCGUCUUUGAGUGUUAUUAAUUAUUAUUAUUCUUCAUGUUUAACCUCUGUUUUCCUUUUAUUCCUAGUCUGUUUUACAUAGUUUUGAAUGAUGACUAUAUGCUCUGUAAGGUGUCCUUGGGUGUCUUGAAAGGCGCCUCUAAAUUAAAUGUAUUAUUAUUAUUAUAUUAUUAAAUAUGAAAGAAAUGCAUAAUGUAUACCGGUAUUCGUGCAUUACAUGAUGGACGUCUAGCUUGUCACAACUUGUGGACAAUAUAAUAAAAAGCAAAGCCUUCAA
ensembl:lncRNA